AGCGAACGUUAGCGGCGGGCCUAACACAUGCAAGUCGAACGCGAAAGGUCUUCGGACUGAGUAGAGUGGCGCACGGGUGAGUAACACGUAGGUAAUCUACCCUUUGGCGGGGGAUAACGUUCCGAAAGGAGCGCUAAUACCGCAUAAGACCACGGAGUCUCCGGACGCUGUGGGAAAAGGUGGCCUCUUCUUGAAAGCUACCACCGAAGGAUGAGCCUGCGUCCCAUCAGCUAGUUGGUAAGGUAAUGGCUUACCAAGGCGAAGACGGGUAGCUGGUUUGAGAGAAUGAUCAGCCACACUGGCACUGGAACACGGGCCAGACUCCUACGGGAGGCAGCAGUGAGGAAUAUUGGGCAAUGGGCGAAAGCCUGACCCAGCCACGCCGCGUGAGUGAUGAAGGCCCUCGGGUCGUAAAGCUCUGUGGAGAGGGACGAAACCCUGGUUUCAAAUAGGCUCCAGGCUUGACGGUACCUCUUUAGCAAGCACCGGCUAACUCUGUGCCAGCA
rnacentral:rRNA from 1 species